GACGAACGCUGGCGGUGUGCUUAACACAUGCAAGUCGAACGGUAAGGCCCUUCCGGGGGUACACGCGUGGCGCACGGGUGAGUAACACGCGAGUAACCUCCCCCCAUCUCUGGGAUAACAGUCGGAAACGGUUGCUAAUAUUGGAUAUGAGCUUGCAAGGCAUCUUGUGGGUUGGAAAGAUUUUUUUGGUUGGGGUUUGACUCGCGGCCUAUCAGCUUGUUGGUGGGGUAGUGGCUCACCAAGGCUCCGACGGGGAGCCGGCCCGAGGGGGGGACCGGCCACAAUGGGACUGGGAAACGGCCCAAACUCCUACGGGGGGCAAGAGGGGGGAAUAUUGCACAAUGGGCGGAAGUCGGGUGCAGGAACGCCGCGUGCGGGGUGACGGCCUUCGGGUUGUAAACCGCUUUCAAUUGUGACGAAGCUUUUUGUGACGGUAGCAGUAGAAGAAGCACCGGCUAACUACGUG
rnacentral:rRNA from 1 species